UGGCGGACGGGUGAGUAACACGUGGGAACCUGCCCAGUGGUGGGGGAUAACUGCGGGAAACUGCAGCUAAUACCGCAUGAGCCCGAGAGGGGAAAGAUUUAUCGCCAUUGGAGGGGCCCGCGUUCGAUUAGGUAGUUGGUGAGGUAACGGCUCACCAAGCCGACGAUCGAUAGCUGGUCUGAGAGGAUGAUCAGCCACACUGGGACUGAGAUACGGCCCAGACUCCUACGGGAGGCAGCAGUGGGGAAUAUUGGACAAUGGGGGCAACCCUGAUCCAGCAAUGCCGCGUGAGUGAUGAAGGCCUUCGGGUUGUAAAGCUCUUUUGCCAGGGACGAUGAUGACGGUACCUGGAGAAUAAGCCCCGGCUAACUUCGUGCCAGCAGCCGCGGUAAU
rnacentral:rRNA from 1 species